CCUGUCCAACCGUUGUGGAACCGCUUGCAGCGGCUUUGCUAUCCGGCGCUUGGGCGAGGCAAUUGGUAAAGUUUUCAUGCCGAAACGCUAAACAAAAUUGGACUAUGCAGGGUGCCGAGCAGACCUGCGAGCACGCCGAAGCCAGUGAGAGGUAAUGGACCCAAGGGACACGGCCUGAGCUCCGGCUGCAUGUAGCCUUGCGGUCCUUGAGCGUCUUGUGUUUCUCCGCGGCCCGGCUUCGGGUGCUGCAUUCAAGCUGGAUCCUUCACAAGUCGCCGGCAUGGAGCCACAGCCGGGGGUGCUAGACAUUCUGGCUCAAUUCUGCCACCGGCUGCUGCAUUGGGGCCCAUUGACGGCGCUCUUUAUCAUCAAAUUCAUUUUUCUGACCAGCCUGUACGUGACAUCUAUGUGGCUCUCGCCUUAUGGUUCAACGCUAGGUACCGUCAACCACGCGAUAUUCAUCGGUUGGGUUGGAGUCCUCCUGUACAAUUUCUUCAUGGCCGUCGCUAUGGGACCGGGCUUCGUUCCUCUGAAGUGGAGGCCGGACCAGCCAGAUGAUGAGCAGUUCCUGCAGUACUGCGCAAACUGUGAUGGAUUUAAGACGCCGCGGUCACAUCACUGCCGCAAAUGUGAAAGGUGUGUCCUCAAGAUGGACCAUCACUGUCCGUGGAUCAACACUUGUUGUGGGCACCGGAACCAUGCCAACUUCACACUUUUUUUGUUCUUUGCUGUCUGUGGCAGCAUUCAUGCCUUGGUGCUGUUGAUCGUGGGCCUGGCUAAAGCCUAUCAUAGGAAAUAUUACAUGCGCCAAGGUCAAGAGGACAAUCUAGUCUACCUGGGUUUCUUCCCUUUUCUGGCCACGGUGCUGAGCCUGGGCUUAGCCAUUGGUGUCAUCAUUGCAGUGGGAAGCCUCUUUUUUAUACAGCUCAAAAUUAUCGUUCGCAACGAGACAACUAUUGAGAACUGGAUUGUGGCCAAGGCCCAGAUGCGAGAGCGUGAGGAGGAAGACGACUUUGUCUAUCCAUACAACCUGGGUGUGGCUGAGAACCUGAAGCAGGUCUUUUUGUACCCACUUGGUGAUGGCAUUACCUGGCCCGUGGUGCCUGGGUGCAACCAGUACACACUCACUGUUGAGCAAAUUCUUCAGAAGCAUGACAAGCGGCUACGAACCCGCUUGUACACUGUGGUGCGUCCGUAUCGUGGCUCCUUUUUCCCAAUAUCACAUGGCUGCACUGUCUGCAUAACCACACCACUCACUGAUGAGCCCCGCAUUGCAGUCAGCCCUGGCGACCGUGUUCUUGUUACUCGGUGGAAAAAGCAUUGGCUUUAUGGAGAGCUAGAAAGCGCAAAGUUUUCUACGAAAUCCUCACGCAGGCUGAAGGGCUGGUUCCCACGGCAGUGUGCGGUUGAGGUGGCUGGCAGUAAAGGGAGCCGGAGCUGCUCAGAGGCAUCGUCAAGCUAUGCUGACCACAAGAAGUACAAGUGAAAUGUGCCAUCACAUCACUGCACAGCUGCAGCCUCUAUUGUCUGCCCAGCCUACCUGCCAGAUUCAGACCAGUCAAAUUUUUCCUGUGUGGGCAGCUGUCCCUGUUGCGUGCGGAUGGACUCGGCUGCUCCCCAAUUUGGCAGCGUCAGAGCCAGUGAUGGAGGGUGUAAAGAAUGGAAAAGGAAAGGGAUCACAAGAAAAUGUGGCCCCUGUUUGCCAAAUAAGAAGCAAAACUAAACUAGCAGGUGGCAUUAACUGAAAAAUUAGAAUGUGUAGAAUUGCAUGCAAAAGUUUGUUCGACAUCUUGCUUUUCUUACUAAUCAGUAGUAUGUAGUUUGGCAUGCUUGAAUGUAAGAAAACUGAAUGCUUGUUUUCAUGGAGGAAAAGGGAAACUUAAAGGGACCCUCACCAGGUUUGGGCACUGCAAAACAAGGGCGGCACAUAGAUCAUGCAGUGACAAUCUUGUCUGCAGAGUAUUACACUGAUGUACACCGUGAAAACAGCUGAGAAUUCAAACAAAAGCUCGCACUGCCAUCUCAGAGGAGCCUCUCUUUUCCUGCCAGCAAAACUGGCAUCACAUGCGUGGCACUUUAACAUCACACAAGUGAUUCAAUGCAUAAAAAUAGCCAGUAGCAGCACAGACAACUUGGGGAUUCCUGUGAAAAGCACAAUACCACUUCCAAAAAGUAAUUGCACUGCAGAAAAUUAAAAAAAAGAGGUAAAAAAAGGGGAAAAGGCGGGUGGUCAUGAAAGAAACAUAAAAUGGGCCCUUGGCUCUGAUACGGGAGAAGGCAGAAGAGGAAUGUCAGUUGGAGGUGCUGAUCGAGGCAGCGGAGGAGAGCCUCUGCAGUGGGAUGGAUAGCUUACCUCCUCACACCUUGCAACAUUUCAGUUCUUUCUAUCUCGUCUACUACUGAACUUGUUUAGAAUGUUUCAAUUUUUUUUUUUUUAUCAAACGCUGCUUUAAUGGCACAUUUCACGUCUAGUGCGUAACCAAAAUUGCUGAUGGUGCCUGGCCAGGGGCCCUUUGAAGGAACCAGUGCUCAAUCAAAACAUGCAAUGAGAUAGUGAUGCAGGAAAAAGGCCAUACCUCAUACUGAUCAAAAUUAAUUGGGCAUUAUUCUUUAUAUAACAAGCUUUAUUUUUAAAUUUGCAGAGAAAGUUGAGCAAAAAUGGUGCUUCAGGAUUCAGCAUUGAACCACUGCCAUUAAAUCUGCUUGCGCUCCAUGCUAUCUCGCAUUGAUGUGCAAAACUAAGUCACUCUACUUUUCAUCAAAAAUAAUUUCUUUGGUAGCAAUGGAGCACUUUUGCACCUUGAAAAAUUUUGUUUUGCUAUGCCUUGUGUACUUGCAUGCACAUGUGUGCACAUACAGUAAAUGGCUGCAAUUCUAACCUGAUAAAAGAAGCGCAACUAGCCGGACCUCAUUCUGAAACCAAAAAUUAAGCAUUUGGAACAAAAAAUAAUGUUUAGCUACAAUCAUCAUAGUGUCUCAUCACUUAUUCUUCAAUAGAGUCUCAUCACUUGUUGUUCAAAUGCUUUGUCAAUGUUUUUUUGGAGGUGUGACCAAUGUAUGAUGUGCAAUUUUUCUCUGAGCUGUUUGUCUGUGCAUGCGUCGUGUAUGAUUUUAUGGGUGCACGUGAGUGUGUAUGUGUGCGCACGUGCGAACAUACAAAAAAAAAUUUUGUCUCCCCCAUGUUAACUUUUUUCUUCUUUCCCUUCUCUGAUCUUUUCACUUCUCUGUGAACGCGUCUUGGUGAUGUUGGCACCCGGCGCAUGCCCCUGCCACUUCUAAAUAGUGCUCAGAUCCAUUAGAAUAUCUUGCCAAAAAAAAUGUCUGCAUACUACAUUAUUCGCUAUUGCAAAGUCCUGUGGCAUGUUUGCAGACAUAUUUUUUAUGUCUUAAUUGCAUAGAAAAGAACAUAAUUUUCUUGCUGCCAAAGCUGCAUCAUUUGCAGUUCACUUUCUGCAGUGUUGCCAGCAUCCACCCACAGUAAAGUUGGGAGUUCGUAGGUUGAAAAAUUUCAAGUUUUUUUGCACCUUAUCUGAAGCAAGUGUUGCGGGUCUAGGUAAUCUAAGGUAUAAGAUUUCCAUUAUGGUACAAAAGAAAUGGCAACCUUCAAAAUCGAUCGUCGGUCUCUUGAAAUAAAAUUGUAAUGGUAACUUUGCAUUUUUUUUUUCUACAUCAAGUGGAAAGCAUUAGUGCAGAGAUGACUGUUUUCAAUGUUCCUAUUAAGGAACAAAGGAAAAGCGCAUCUCAGCACAUUAUACGUGUGCACUUAUCACGAGUACUGAUCUUUCUGUGCUGGCUUUUUGUGCCACUACUGACAGAUAUGUGUGCAUGGUGGUUUGCCGGGUGGGGUGUCAGUGUUUAUAGUGUCUUUUCUUGCUGGAGCUAGGUAGCUUGUGUGGGUGGAUAUGUUUUGAGGUGCCACUUACACCAGGUGUUAUAUGCCACAAUGUUGAUGAAUUGAUGUCAAGUGCCAUGAAAGCUGCAUGUCAUAAUCUAAAGCGUGCCCAUUUUAAGGGCUAGUUUGUUACAUGUGCUAUAAAACGUACUUAGCUGGGGAAGAAAAAAAAAUCUAAAUCGUGAGGGAGUGAGUAAGACUGAUUGCUUAUUAUAGUGUUCAACAGUAUUCCACCAUCUGUUCCUAUGUACACAUCUUGCAAUAAAGUGCUGUCUUUUUUACAGGGUUGCAAAUGGGGGGGGGGGGGGGAUGCUCAAUGGCAUCAUUUUGUUGCAGUGUUUCGGCUAGGUGGUAGGCAGCUGCAGUAUUACCACCGUCACUGCAAAUUGUUGCCACAAGUGCUUCGAAAAAUAUCUUUUAUGGCUGUUUCUAGACUGUACUGGUAAAAUUUCAGUUGCAACAUGGUAUAGAAAAAAUGUAUAGGAGAAAUGCAUUAUUGCUUUAAUGUUUCAACCCACUUUAUUGUCAAGUUUUGCUUGACUAGUAGUUUCACGUAAUUCUGUUGCUCUAUGCAUGACGCUUGGGUGGAGCCAGUCAUUUUCUUUCAUUUUGCAUCCAGCAAGCAAUGCUUUCAGUUGUCCUUAAAACGUUUUAGGAUGCCCUAUGGUGGUGGUGUACAACACAAGCAUCUGGGACAUGUAGAAAGGGAUUAGCUUAGAAUAUGGCCUGUGACUCGCCAGUCUUGUACCUUUACUGGCACCACACACCAUGACCUUGCUGAUAACUUUUUUUUUUUUUUUUUU